UCAGUGCGGUGCUACCAUGCAGUCGAGCGGUAGCACAGAGAGCUUGCUCUCGGGUGACGAGCGGCGGACGGGUGAGUAAUGUCUGGGAAACUGCCUGAUGGAGGGGGAUAACUACUGGAAACGGUAGCUAAUACCGCAUAACGUCGCAAGACCAAAGUGGGGGACCUUCGGGCCUCAUGCCAUCAGAUGUGCCCAGAUGGGAUUAGCUAGUAGGUGGGGUAACGGCUCACCUAGGCGACGAUCCCUAGCUGGUCUGAGAGGAUGACCAGCCACACUGGAACUGAGACACGGUCCAGACUCCUACGGGAGGCAGCAGUGGGGAAUAUUGCACAAUGGGCGCAAGCCUGAUGCAGCCAUGCCGCGUGUAUGAAGAAGGCCUUCGGGUUGUAAAGUACUUUCAGCGGGGAGGAAGGCGAUAAGGUUAAUAACCUUGUCGAUUGACGUUACCCGCAGAAGAAGCACCGGCUAACUCCGUGCCAGCAGCCGCGGUAAUACGGAGGGUGCAAGCGUUAAUCGGAAUUACUGGGCGUAAAGCGCACGCAGGCGGUCUGUCAAGUCGGAUGUGAAAUCCCCGGGCUCAACCUGGGAACUGCAUUCGAAACUGGCAGGCUAGAGUCUUGUAGAGGGGGGUAGAAUUCCAGGUGUAGCGGUGAAAUGCGUAGAGAUCUGGAGGAAUACCGGUGGCGAAGGCGGCCCCCUGGACAAAGACUGACGCUCAGGUGCGAAAGCGUGGGGAGCAAACAGGAUUAGAUACCCUGGUAGUCCACGCCGUAAACGAUGUCGAUUUGGAGGUUGUGCCCUUGAGGCGUGGCUUCCGGAGCUAACGCGUUAAAUCGACCGCCUGGGGAGUACGGCCGCAAGGUUAAAACUCAAAUGAAUUGACGGGGGCCCGCACAAGCGGUGGAGCAUGUGGUUUAAUUCGAUGCAACGCGAAGAACCUUACCUGGUCUUGACAUCCACAGAACUUGCCAGAGAUGCCUUGGUGCCUUCGGGAACUGUGAGACAGGUGCUGCAUGGCUGUCGUCAGCUCGUGUUGUGAAAUGUUGGGUUAAGUCCCGCACGAGCGCAACCCUUAUCCUUUGUUGCCAGCGGUUAGGCCGGAACUCAAAGGAGACUGCCAGUGAUAAACUGGAAGAAGUGGGGAUGACGUCAAGUCAUCAUGCCGUACGACCAGCUACCACGUGCUACAUGGCGCAAUACAAGAGAAAGCGGACCUUCCGCCGGAGAAGC
rnacentral:rRNA from 1 species